ensembl:snRNA
GUGAUGUGUGCAGGGAGAGAAAGAUAGAACUGCUCUUGACAAAGAUGCAUAAGACCUUUGGGCCUAACAACAGGCCCAUGUAUUGUGGCAUCUGAUGACUGUUUUUAAACUCUUGUUUUU